GCUGACACAUCCCGGCCAAUCUCCAGCAGACCCUCCCUCCCAGACCCUCCCACCUCCUGGACAGCAUCCAUGUUGGAGGCAGCUUCAGCAUGGAUGCUGUCCAGGAGGUGGGAGGGUCUGGGAGGGAGGGUCUGCUGGAGAUUGGCUGGGAUGUGUCAG